rnacentral:misc_RNA from 1 species
GAAAUGCGAUAAGUAGUGUGAAUUGCAGAAUUCAGUGAAUCAUCGAAUCUUUGAACGCACAUUGCGCCCUUUGGCAUUCCGAAGGGCAUACCUGUUCGAGCGUCAGUUGCACCCUCAAGCUCUGCUUGGUGUUGGGUGUUUGUCCCGUCUCCGCGCGUGGACUCGCCCCAAAGUGAUUGGCAGCCGGCGUACUGGUCCCGGAGCGCAGCACAUGUCGCGCAAACGAGUGCCUUGGUACGGCGGCGUCCAUAAGCCCCUCUCUCACGCUCUUGACCUCGGAUCAGGUAGGGAUACCCGCUGAACUUAAGC